rnacentral:snRNA from 1 species
GGAUGUGAGGGCGAUCUGGCUGUGACACCUGUCACCCCAUUGAUCACCAUGGUUCAUUUGGCUGAUCUGGCUGGCUAGACGGUGUCCCCUUCCUCCCUCAAUGCUCCAUACGCAUCCCUCCAGAAGCUGCGUGCUCAGUUGAAGAGGAUGACGACCCCCAACAGAGGAGGACAGUUCCUCAGUCAAGGGUGUACAAGUAGCUGCGCUCCCCUCUAGAACCUCCGAACAGGCUCUCAAGAAUGGGAGAAAAUGUUUGCCAUCUAUCCUUCUGAACUGAGGAUUAAUAUCUAGAUCAUAU